rnacentral:lncRNA from 1 species
AUGCAGAACUGCACGCAGGAGCUGCAGCUGAGGGAGGAAGGGGGGCAGAGCGACACUGAACUGCCACAGGAGCAGCUCUCCCCGAGCAGCGCCAGGCUCAGCGCUGCACUGCAGGCAGGGAGGCAGGAGGAGCACAACCCAGGGAAGACAAAGAUCCAUUGCGGUGUAUUGGAGCCAGAGCUGCACAUCCCUGAGCCACACCGUGACGCUGGGAGGGGCCGCGCUGGGGCUCCGAGGGGCGCAUCCGUGCUCCGUGACAGAGCUGGGGACCUUCACCAGGGGCUGCCGUUCCACACCCUCGGGCGCAGAGCGCUGUGCAGGGCCGAGGCUGCCUCCCCCGCUCCCGGGAUUCUGGCCGUGGCGAGCUCGGCUCCCACCGGCCCUUCCCGGCCGCAGCGCGCUCCUGGUGGGCCGGGACAUCCCCUGCAGCGCCCCGGCGAGGCACCGGCCCCGUGGGGACCGGCAAGACCUACCUUCCACCACGCCGCAGAGGAAACGCGGCCUCCCGGCCAUGACCGCGCAGGAACGGCCCUGCGGUGGUGGGGCGGGCAGGGACGGGGCGAUGCGGGGAGGGAUAGAGGGGCAGGCGGAAGGAUGCUGGGAGGGAUGGAGAGGAGAGCCGAGGGACGGAGAGGAGCCGGAGCGGUGCGCGGACGGACACCGCGCACGGACACCGAGCGCCCACCCCGCACAGACGCGGCGGCCGCCGCAGCGCAGGGGGCGGCUCCGGCAGGUGGGGCCGGGGAGGGGCCGGGCGCGGGGCGGGGACGUGGCGCAGCCCGCGGGCAGAGCGGCACGGAGCCAUCGGGCGGCGGCAGGGAGGUCUCAGGGGGAAGCGGUCCGAGCCCGCCGCCGUGCGGGGCAUCACCGCAGCCCCGCCGCUCCGUGCCGUUCCAUGCCGCUCCAUGCCGCUCCGUGCCGCUCCGUGCCGUUCCGUGCCGCUCCGUGUUACUCCGUGCCGUUCCGUGCCUUUCCAUGCCGCUCCGUGCCGUUCCGUGCCGUUCCGUGUUACUCCGUGCCGCUCCGUGCCGUUCCGUGCCGUUCCGUGUUACUCCGUGCCGCUCCGUGCCGUUCCGUGCCGCUCCGCCCCGCUCCCCUCGUGCGGUUCGGGCUGCGGUGCCUCCCCCGCCCCACAUCCGCGGAGGUCGGACUGUCGUGCCUCGCCCGUGA